rnacentral:rRNA from 1 species
AUGAACGCUGGCGGCGUGCCUAAUACAUGCAAGUCGCGCGAACGGACGAGAAGCUUGCUUUUCUGAUGUUAGCGGCGGACGGGUGAGUAACACGUGGAUAACCUACCUAUAAGACUGGGAUAACUUCGGGAAACCGGAGCUAAUACCGAAUAAUAUUUUGAACCGCAUGGUUCAAAAGUGAAAGACGGUCUUGCUGUCACUUAUAGAUGGAUCCGCGCUGCAUUAGCUAGUUGGUAAGGUAACGGCUUACCAAGGCAACGAUGCAUAGCCGACCUGAGAGGGUGAUCGGCCACACUGGAACUGAGACACGGUCCAGACUCCUACGGGAGGCAGCAGUAGGGAAUCUUCCGCAAUGGGCGAAAGCCUGACGGAGCAACGCCGCGUGAGUGAUGAAGGUCUUCGGAUCGUAAAACUCUGUUAUUAGGGAAGAACAUAUGUGUAAGUAACUGUGCACAUCUUGACGGUACCUAAUCAGAAAGCCACGGCUAACUACGUG